rnacentral:rRNA from 1 species
AACUCAAAGGAAUUGACGGGGCCCGCACAAGCAGCGGAGCGUGUGGUUUAAUUCGAUGAUACGCGAAGAACCUCACCCAGGUUUGACAUGCAUGUGGUACCAAGGUGAAAGCUGAGGGACCCUUCGGGGAGCAUGCACAGGUGUUGCACGGCCGUCGUCAGCUCGUGCCGUGAGGUGUUGGGUUAAGUCCCGCAACGAGCGCAACCCCUGUCGCCAGUUGUAUUUUUCUGGCGAGACUGCCGAGAAAACCUCGGAGGAAGGAGGGGACGAUGUCAGGUCAGCGUGGCCCUUACGCCUGGGGCUACACACACGCUACAAUGGGCAGUACAACGGGUCGCGAAGCCGCGAGGUGGAGCUAAUCCCAUCAAAGCUGUCCUCAGUUCGGAUUGCAGGCUGAAACCCGCCUGCAUGAAGCCGGAGUUGCUAGUAACCGCAGGUCAGCAUUACUGCGGUGAAUACGUUCCCGGGCCUU